AUGCGAUCAUGUAGCAGACAUUUGCAGUACACUGUACGAAGGAUCCUCCUUUUGCCCUUGUCAGAGAUCCAUGGAAUCUACAGAGAGAACAUGCAAAAUCUUCUUGACAAGAGGGAAUAACAGAACGAUGAACAGGUUCAUAACGAUGCUCCAGAUGUCACAUUCUGCUUUGGUGCUGAUCUGGCUCAUUUCACUGUGACUGAUAUUCAUGAUGUUCAACUCAUAACCACUGGUAUGUCAGGUGUAUGUGUAUGUGUGUGCGUGUGCAGGCAAGCAUGAGUGCAUGCGAAAAAAAAAAACUAUUUGGAAAUCACAGCAGGCAAGCAUUCCUUUAAGAAAUCUCUGAACCAAUGAUCUGAGAAACAACCUCUACCUCAGGGGUAUGGUGUGUGCAUGUGUGGCUGUGCAAUCUGAA